UUCCAUGUUUCAACAACACACAAAUGCUGUAGCUAAGAUGAAACUAUUUUAAUCUCGCAAUUGUGUACCUUCCUUUACAAUAUGAAACUAGAGUUGAAGCACUAUUUUUGCACAGUGUAUCUUUUCUUAUGGCACUAUCGACUUUCCUAUGCGCUGUGCAAAGGGAUUUUCAACUACAAACCUUGUUGUGUCGGAGAGAUAUGGAAUUCAACAGAGGAAAAAUGCAUGCCUUGUCCCUUGGGAUAUUUUGGAGAAAAUUGUACUUCACUGUGCAAUGUUCCGGAAUAUGGAUAUAGAUGUUCUUCAGGGAAGUGUAAAUGCAAUCGUGUCGCUUGCAAAAUAGAAUCUAGGGAAUGUUUAACAUUGCCCGGUAAAAUGUGCUUAAAUAUUUUUCCUGUAAUGAGAUAGUUUCGUAUUUCUAUUGAGAAUGAAACUCACAAAAUGAUUUUUUUUAAUUUUUAUAUUUAAAAACCAGUCACGAAAAAAGCUUUAGAAAGAACAAAUCCAUAUCCAAGUUAUAUGACGCAACAGGUUUCAAGUAUGAUGUUCUACAAUUCGUCGACAGAAACAUUCUUCAGAAAAACAACCAUUAUAAAUGCAACUCUAUCAAAAAAUCAAACAAGCCUUGAUAAGGAGGGUAGAAUACCUUAUAUAAUUAUACUAAAUAUAAGUGGCGUAAUAUUAUUGUGUGUUGUCAUUGGUGAGUGUGUCAUUGUCGUUCGAAAAAAGUUUUGCCAAGGAGAUUUAGAAAAUGAUCAGCCAAGUUUUGAUCCUAUGUACAGUGUCAUCACAAUUAGAAA